rnacentral:rRNA from 1 species
ACGAACGCUGGCGGCGUGCUUAACACAUGCAAGUCGAACGGAAAGGCCCUGCUUUUGUGGGGUGCUCGAGUGGCGAACGGGUGAGUAACACGUGAGUAACCUGCCCUUGACUUUGGGAUAACUUCAGGAAACUGGGGCUAAUACCGGAUAGGAGCUCCUGCUGCAUGGUGGGGGUUGGAAAGUUUCGGCGGUUGGGGAUGGACUCGCGGCUUAUCAGCUUGUUGGUGGGGUAGUGGCUUACCAAGGCUUUGACGGGUAGCCGGCCUGAGAGGGUGACCGGCCACAUUGGGACUGAGAUACGGCCCAGACUCCUACGGGAGGCAGCAGUGGGGAAUAUUGCACAAUGGGCGGAAGCCUGAUGCAGCAACGCCGCGUGCGGGAUGACGGCCUUCGGGUAGUAAACCGCUUUCGCCUGUGACGAAGCGUGAGUGACGGUAAUGGGUAAAGAAGCACCGGCUAACUACGUG